UAUUGAUCGGCAUAUUUACAAGAAAAAAAAAAACAAAAUAAAAUGGAUAAUCUAAAUUCAAAUAGCAGGUAUAAAGGUAAGAGAUACAAAAUAUUUCACUCGGAUUAAAAUUUAUGUACAAAGAUUCUUCUUCAUUUACAACGGUGAUUCAGCGCGCAUACUCCAUGCAAUCCCAUUUUACACCCAGAACAAAUAGUUCUGGAUCUUCUUUUCUCUCCUCGAAUCCUACACUCAACGCACUGUCGUUCCUUUUUCUCGGUCAAUUUUUCCAAUUGAAUAUUGCUGCUGGUGGUUGCUGAUGAAGUAGAUCCCUUGAUAGUGCCCUCUACAAGGCUAUUUAUCACUGAGACCUGGUAUUUCUGCCUGGUCAGCUUGGGAGAAUCAUUUGAAUGUUGACUGUAUAGGAUGUAGGAGUUCAGAAGAGCUUUGUGUAUUAUGUCUAUGACAACCUUUCUGUGAUGUUUACGGCCCUUUCUUUCGUCCAUAUAGCAGUACAUCAUCAUAUCACUCAGGUCAACACCGCCCAUGUAUUUAUCAUAGACGGUUUUGACCUGAGGAUAUAAAUGAUGGGGGUCUCUUGAACUACCAGGUUUGGUCUCUGAAACGGCAUCACAAUAGGUGCUCAGGAAGUUUAUUGAUUUUCGUUUAGCUUUUUCUUUGUAUGCUGCUGCUAGCUGCAUAUCACUUUUCAUAUAGAUGACUACAUCUACAUGUAGGGAGGCUCUUUUCAAAGUUUUGGGAUAGCCUCUACGAUUGGACCAUAUAGUUCCAGUCAGAUAGGUCUGUUUACCAGCUAGGUCUUUGGCAAGGUCCACACUGGUGAAGAAGUUAUCCAUUACAACAUGAUAACCCCUUCCUAUCAUAUUUGUGUCGGUAAGGAGUUUCAUUGGUACAUCAUAAGAUAGACUUUUAGAUAUUUCGCUAAAUCUACCUUUAUAUACAUAAAACUGGAGACAGUAUCCAGUUCUAGCCUCACACAACAUCCAGAGUUUUAUUCCAAAGCGGCCAUGAUGUUUGUUUGGCAUGUAUUGCAAUAAUCUGGUAUGAUUUUUCAGGCACACCAGACUUUCAUCAAUACUUAGAUGUUGAGUGAGCUUAUAAUAAUAUAAAAAUUUGAAGUUUACAUGAUUUAUCAAGUCUCUAUAUUUCAAAGUGGGGUCAUAGCCAGGGUCAGUGUGUUUAGGCAUUUUAUAUGAAUCACAGGUAGUAAAGAAAGAAUAAAUUAGCUCAAAACGGUUUCUAGACAUAACAUCAGGAAACCAAUUUUGUCUAAAACAUCUUUCUUUACUCCAGUAAUUCAUUAUUUGAUUCUUGGGAUUCAGACCCAUGUUGAAAAUGAUUCCAAAGAAUGCCAUCAUUUCAUUUGUGGUUAUUUCUUUCCAUUUUUGUAGCCUGGAAUGUGAAGGUAAAGUUGCGAUAUUAUCUUUCAAGUAUUCCUUCACAUAUUUAUGUGUAUAGCCGACAUAGAUACCCACAUACACACAUAAUACGAACCCUGGAUAUAACGAACCUUCCCUUAUAACGAACCCACGCUGAUUCCCAAUUCCAUUCCAUUGAAAAUACCAUCGUUAUAACGAACUUUGCGAUUUUUAGAAUAACGAACUACCCCUAUAACGAACCUAUUUCGGGUCCCAAAAUGAUAAAAUCUAUUUAAAAUACUAUACUUAUAACGAACUUAGAAUUGUAAUUUAACACUUAGAGGACGAAGCUGAAAUACUAUUACGGCCCCCUCGGCCCAGCUAAAAAGUGUAAUUUUUGAAAAUUUUGAAAAAUACUUUAAGCAUGAUCCAAAUGAAAUAUUAAUUGUAAUAAUGGUAAAAAUAAGUGUUGAAAACAUUAUAAAAGAUACAUUUUUAAAAUAAAUUCAAUAUAUAUUUUAUUAUUAAAUUUUGAAAAAAUCAAAAUUUUAUUCAAAAAUGAAAAUCACUCCAACACAAAAAUGAUCCAAAAAUAAAUUUAUAUAAUGAAAAUGACAUUUAUUUUUUAAAAAAUGAAGUAAUUUAUAUAUAUAUACAAUAAUUUAAUGCGAUAAAAUAAUUUUUAUACCUUAUAAUAAUCUUUUAUUGUAUGGUACAGUUUGAAGCAAUCACCAAGGCAUAGUGGAACUAGGCAGGUCUCACAUUCAUAGGCUGUAUCUUUUCUUGCCUGCUUGCCAGUGGUUACCCUGCCUUUUUCAGCGCAAACUUUGCAUCUGCGUUGGGCAUAUGUUUUGCCUUCAACUUUGAUUCGGCGAAUAAAAUGACGUCCAAUAAGUCGAUCAGAUUGUUCACCGCUUGAAGGUUGAGCAUCAAGAAUAUCUUGAUUGGCUUCUGAGCAAAGAGCUUCGCAUAUUGAAAUAUGGAAGUCCCUCAAAGACAUUUUAGCAUCAGGAUUCAAUUUAUUGUAAAUUAUGCAUGAAUUUACAAUAGCAAGUCCAUAUAUAUGGAAAAAUAGUUUCUUCCACCAUUUCAUUGUGCGUCGAUCAAAAGAAUAAUAGGAGAGCAUCUGGUCACUUCGGUCCACUCCAAUUUUAUUCUUAUUGUAGUCAAGAACAACUUGUGGUUUGAAUAUUGGAGCUUGCGAAAGUCCAGGUCUCCCCAUGACUUCAACCAUUUGAUGGUCGUGAACAGUUGAGAUCAUCCAAACAUCUCUGGUGUGGCGCCAUUUCAUUGCCAUUAGGCUACCCUUGAAUAGAUGCAUUUCUUCACCUUUCUUCAAUUUUUUUGAAAAGGAUUUCUUAGGAAGACCUUUCCUAUUAGUUUUUACUGUACCAACAGCCAUUGUUUUCUUUUCCCAUAGAUAGUUGAAGAGGUGGGGCGAAGAAAACCACCUGUCACAAUAAAUGAUGUGACCUCUGUUGAAGAGAUGAGAGGCCAAUCGUUCUACCAAAUUUGGUAUAGAGUUAUAGCCUUCUUCCUGGCUUGGAUGUUUACCUGUGUAUAUGUUGAUAUUACAGGUAUAACCAGAAUUGGCUUCACAAAUAUGGUAGAUCUUUAUUCCAUAUUUGUGAGGCUUGCCUUUUAUGUAAAUACGGAACCUUAUUCUUCCUCUGAAUGGACAAAUAGCUUCAUCAAUGGUCAGAUUCUGGGUCGGGGAAUAAAGGCAUUGGAAUUUUUUGGUAAGAGGAUCUAGAAAAGUUCUUAUUUUAUAUAGAGGAUCAUGUCCACUUUGUCCAAAAGGAAUAUAGGAAGAAUUAUCAGCCAGGUGAAGCAUUGACAAAAUUGCUUCGAACCUAUUUCUAGCCAUUAUUUUUUUACAGAAAGUGGUAUUGAGGACAGAAUUGGUGGACCAGUAAUCUUUCAUUCUUGGCUUUAUAACAAGGCACAUGUGUAUAAUGCAGGCAAAAAAUAACUUUAUUUCUGCAAUUGACACUGCUUUCCAAUUAGCCAGAAAGCUAUAUGCCUUGAGAGGACCCCUUUUCUUCUGUUUAUCAAUUGUAGACCUUGCAUACUUGUUUGUUUCUAAUUUAAUUUUCCUGUACAUUUCUUCGUCAAUAAAAGUUUUGAAAAUAUUAUAUGGGGACAUUGUUUGUGUAAAAAAAUCCAUUUUAGGGCCAGGUUGGUCUAAGAAAACCGGACAGUUUACUGAGGGAUUCCGAACAUUUGCCCAACCCUCAUCUUGGGGCUCUUCAAGUCUCCUUUGUUUAGAUGGAGGCUGAGCAAAUUCUCCUUCUUCCAAAUCAUAUAUUUCAGUUUCAUCUGAAUCCAGACCUUCAACAUAAUCUGGAUCAACAACUGGAUCAUCAAUUUCAGACCCAGAAUCAGAGCAAAAUUCGUCUAGAUGUUUUUCAUCAAGAGAAGAUUUAUAAAAUGGACCUACCAAUUUGGAGGUGCUUGGUUGACUAGGAUCCAUCAUAAAAUGAAAAUAAUCCUUCAAAAAGUAUUUUAUAAGUGAAAGAUAUUGAAAAUAAGACAAAAAAACAAGAGCACUAUAAAUAGGUAAGUUGAGCACACUGCAGUUGUUUACAGAAGAGGAAGGAAGUGGGAAAUCACGUGUGCCAUGAUGUAAAGGGGGUGGAAGGGGGGGCGAGAGGGAGGGGAGGAGCCUGUCAAGGUCAUGUCAUCAUGAGACGGCCGCGAAAAGUUGUUGGGGCCAGGUGCCCAAUGACGUGGAUUGCCACCCGAUUUUCUAUUGAUUUUUAAAGUUUCAUGACGUGGAUCAACGUCAUUGGGGUUUGGUGCUUUAAUAGCAAUGACGUGGAUCCACGUCAUUGGGGUUGAAAGUAAAAAAUUAAAAAACAAAAUUUUAAGCUGUUUCAGCUCGCGGAUCGUGAUUUCAAAACAAUAAAUUUAGCGGCAUUGUUUGUUAAAUUUUUGCACUUUAUUUUUGCUGUAUGUUGUAUACAUUUUCACACAUUAUUCUUUUUAUUAAAUAGAAUAUCUUUUCAUCCAUUAAAUUUGAAAUAUAAAAAAUGCAAAUGGCUUCCAAAAUGAAGAAAACAAAGGCAUUUUAAAAACAAAAGCAUUAUUUCUUAAAUAAAAAAAGGCCAUUUUCAGAACUUUUCAAAGUGAAACAACAUAGGCAAAAUGUUAAGAACAUAUUAAAAUAAGAGAAUAUAACUUUUCUAUUAUAAAAGAUUAAAUAUAAAGUUAUUAAAAAUUGUUACAAAGAGGAAUCAACCUCAACUCUUGCUGCGAUCACGAUCGUACGUUUUAAGGCUAAAAAAAAAAAAGUCCAAAUAAACGGUCCCGUGAUGAAACAAAAAUUAUUUUUAUGCCAUUAACUAUGGUGAUUUUAAAGUCAGCAAUGUUUUGCAUGACAGGUAAAAAAAAAAAAUCUAGAAGAAUAUGGAGAAACAUGAAAUGGAAGAAAAACACUUACUUUAUUUGAAUGGUGCAAUGCUUGGAAGAAUGCUUUGAAACAACAAGGUGUUAGAGCCAUUUUUUCAAGUAAAAAUUGUAUUAUAUAAUGUGAUAAUGAUGUUUUAAAAUCAUUUCAUAUCUUUGAAUAUAUAUUUAAUAAAACUUUGCCUAGGAUAUGUCUUGAUUUUUAACUUAGACAUAGAGGUACAUGUUGUUAAUGGUACAGGUACAGGUAUGUUAAUGAUAAGAAGAACCUAUCAUCUAAUGAUUUCUAUUAUUAUUUAGUAUAAAUAUAAGGAAAUUGGUCAAUUAAGGUAAUUAAAAUAAAGUGACCACUAUUUAGAGGCAGCCUCUUCUUGUGUGUAUGGCUGUUUUUUAAUUAUAUGGUCAAAAAUUUUUGAAAAGUAAAAAAAAAUAGCCAAACCGUGGCUAUAGUGAACCGUGGCUAUAGUGAACCAAAAGCUCUGUCCCAUUGGGGUUCACUAUAGAGGGGUUUUAUUGUACAUACAUACAUACAUACAUACGCCGAGUGUGCGGCCACGCUAUUUUUUAGCUUCGCCGUUUUUCGCCUCUGGCGGGCGUAUGAAUGGCAAAAGAAAAGCCAAAUUUGGUACUGGCGAGUAGCCCGGAAGCAGCUGAAUCCGUGCCUGAAAGGCCCAGCUGUGUAUCCCAAACCGGUGACGAGAUAUCACCAAAAAUCGUUCUACAGAAGACUAUUUCUGAAGAAUCGCUUGAAAAAGCUAAUCAUGCAAAAUCGCCGGCAGGCAACAUGCAUGUAAAUUUGGCCGCCGCGCGUGAUGUCACGGCGCCAACGACUGCUGCCUCUUCCAGCGUGAAUCUAGCCAACCCGGCCUCGCUCAACUGGGCCGACCGCAAGAUGGCCGAGGUGGACGACAGUUCAUCGUCGUUGUUGCAGAUCCACUGUCUUUUUUUGUGUGUGCGAUUUAAUUUCUCAUUUUUAUUUGAAGAUAUUGCGAGGGAUGGCCUUCAAAAUGUAAGAAAGCCGUGUAAUAAGACGCCACCCCCCCCCCCCCCCUCGCGGCGCGAGCGGCGGCGAUCACGCCCAUGAUGCAACUUCCGCUCUCUCUCGCCCCCAACGCCUGCCCGCGUCUCGAGACUAAGAACUCUAUCUCUCUCUUUUAAAGUAAUUCUUUAACUGUAAUCUUGUAUCAACUAUAAUAAAUUUCCCUUCUUCACAGCAAUCAUUGAGUUGCUAUAGUUUUAAUUAUUUUAUGCUGGUUACACCGUCCAGUGAUACGAAUUUAUUUGAUCAAAGCUCAACAUUUUUUGGCGUCCCCGACAGGAUGGUACAACAGCAUAUUUUGUAAUUCAAAAUGAAUCGCCUCAAGAAAGGAAGAAGGCCUGUUCGUGGCCAAAUCACAAAGCUCAUCAACAGUGUUGAAACAGCCCUGAAGAAGCCAGUAGAAGAACUGGACAAGACAGACUUGAGGGUCUCAGCACUACAGCUUGAAGAUUUAUGUCGAGAUCUUCAUGAAUGGGAUGAGAAAGUAACUGAGGCCAUGUUGGAUGAAGAAGUGACUGAAGCAGAACAGGAAAAAGAAUAUGAUGAACGUCUGAAGUAUGACAGACUAAUCAAAAGGAUGAGAGAAGAGUUAGAAAAGGUACUGAAUCCGAAGAAAGGUGUGUCGCCCCAGCCUGAUGAAACCUCGUCGGAUACGAGCAACAGUACAACCCGGAGAAGGGUUCUGCUUCCCAAGAGAAAACUCCCAGAGUUUAGAGGUGAUGUACGAGAAUGGAUCACCUUCUGGUCGAGGUUUGAAGACAUCCACAACGACAAGGAUCUCUCACUUCAGAUAAGUACCAAUAUCUAGUAGACUGCAUGUUGGAAAAUUCCGAAGCUCAGCAACUAGUAUUAAGUUAUCCUGUCUCAGGAAAGAAUUAUGCUUCGGUUAUCAAAGAUCUUAAAGAAAGAUUUGGGCGAGAUAUAUAACAUGCUAAUAAAGGUCUAUGUUCGAGAUCUAUUGUGGUUGGUCAUCCGAAGUGCACAAGAGAGAAAGGUCAACUUUAAAGAUCUUGUGACAAAGUUGAACUCUCUCAAAUUAGGCAUUUAAGUAUGCUUGGUGUAACUACAGACAAGUGUGCCGAUAUAUUGUAUCCGGUAGUUGAAUCAUGUCUACCAGAGGAUGUCCUCAUUUCAUGGCAGCGCAGCAGUGAACGUGGCAG